CCAGACAGCCAGGAUGUUGGCUUAGAAGCAGCCAUCAUUUAAAGAAAGCGUAAUAGCUCACUGGUCGAGUCGGCCUGCGCGGAAGAUGUAACGGGGCUAAACCAUGCACCGAAGCUGCGGCAGCGACGCUGUGCGUUGUUGGGUAGGGGAGCGUUCUGUAAGCCUGCGAAGGUGUGCUGUGAGGCAUGCUGGAGGUAUCAGAAGUGCGAAUGCUGACAUAAGUAACGAUAAAGCGGGUGAAAAGCCCGCUCGCCGGAAGACCAAGGGUUCCUGUCCAACGUUAAUCGGGGCAGGGUGAGUCGACCCCUAAGG
rnacentral:rRNA from 1 species